UACGACAAAGGUAAACCCUGAGUGAUCAGGGGGGCGCAAAGUAAAGGGUCUUUAAACUAUUUUCCUGCAAACGCAGGAAAAUAGAAAGAUAGCCUUACUGCCGAAG
rnacentral:ncRNA from 1 species